GCUGGGACAUCUCUCGGAUAAUCCGGCAAGGCCCUGGAACCAAGGGUGUCGGCAAAUCGCUGGGUGGACCAGUACUUGAA